rnacentral:rRNA from 1 species
UCCGGUGGCGAUACCUGGAUGGAUCCACCUGUUCCCAUUUCGAACACAGUAGUUAAGCAUCCACAGGCCGAAAGUACUUGGGGGGCAGCCCCCUGGGAGGAUAGGAUGUUGCCGGUU